rnacentral:rRNA from 1 species
CGGCUAGGCUUGUUAAAAUUUAGGCUUUAUUUUGUUUUAAUUAUAAUAUUAAGAAAUUAUUUAAAUAAUUAUAGGUUAAAUUUUAAUUAUUUUUUGUAAAAUGUUAUAAUUUUAAAUUUUGAUAAACGAAUUAGAUUAGUACCUAAUUAGUCAAAAGUUAAAAGAGCAGGAGUAAAGUUAUAUUUAAACUGAAAGAAUAUUGGCAGAUUUUCUAAAUUAUCUUUGGAGGUUGAGUAAUAAUUGAGAACCCUCAUUAACUACUUUUUUAUUAGUCUCAUGUAUGAUCGUUUAUUUUAUACUUAAGGUAUAUAAUAAAAAAUUUUUAUUUAAAAAAAUAGAUAUAUAUUUGGUUUAUGUAAAAGUUUAAUUUGACCUACAAUAAUGUAAGUUGUGGAUUUAUAAUUUAGUAAUUAUAAUAAAAAUGUAAAAGACAGUAAAAAAAUUUUUAUGAUUUUUUGAAGAUUAUUUAGAUGUGGUACAAA